GGGCCUACGGGGGGCAGCAGUGGGGAAUAUUGCACAAUGGGGGAAACCCUGAUGCAGCAACGCCGCGUGAGUGAAGAAGUAUUUCGGUAUGUAAAGCUCUAUCAGCAGGGAAGAAGAAAGACGGUACCUGACUAAGAAGCCCCGGCUAACUACGUGCCAGCAGCCGCGGUAAUACGUAGGGGGCAAGCGUUAUCCGGAUUUACUGGGUGUAAAGGGAGCGUAGACGGCAUAGCAAGUCUGAAGUGAAAGCCCGUGGCUCAAC
rnacentral:rRNA from 1 species